rnacentral:rRNA from 1 species
AUGGCGGUGCUCUCCAAGCUUGCCGCCCACGAGGCCGAGGAAUUGCGCCGGAUCGGUGAUGACACGGCGCUGCUGCGUGACCGGCUCCAGUGGCUGCAGGCAUUCCUCCGUGACGCUGACCGGAAACGCCGGGUGGGCAUCCCUGUCGACGGGCUGAGCCUUGUCUGCCUGCGCCCGAUGCGUGACAUUGCCUUCGACGCCGAGGACACCCUCAAUGACUUGAUCUUCCACCACCAGGUUGCUUCAAGAAGCUGUGGUUAUGAAAGCCAGAAAACACCGAUGAGAUACUUUGUUGACGUCUUUUCUCGGAUGGCAAAUCGAAGCGAGUUGACCAGUCAAAUCAAAAGAAUUAGAACAGCACUUGACCAGAUCUUGGAUAACCAAAAGUGCUGCAGGGGCGAGCAUAUAUCAACGAUGGCACUGAAAGCUUCCACCAUGGCCAUUGCAGCAUGGCGGGAUGACCUGGAGAAUGUUGUGGGAUUUGACAAGGACAUGGAGAUUCUUAAGCGGAUGUUGGUCCAUAAAGAUGAGGAUAGUCACCACCAAAUGUUCAUAUCCAUUGUUGGGGAGAGUGGUGCAGGGAAGAAAACACUCGUAAACCUUAUUUGUGAUCAGAUAUGUACAGAGAUGGAUGUUUUAAUCAGGUACAACAUGAUGCCCGGUUCCAGCACAAAAGAUCUCCUCAAAGAUGUGUACAAAAUGGCAUUGCGUCAAUCUGCAUGUCGGUGUCAUGAGAUGGUGGUGGAAGAAGAUACUGAUAGUAUAAGUGAAAAGAUCCAUGGUUUGCUUAGUACAAAAAGGUACUUAUUGAUCCUCGGUGGGAUUUCCUCCAAAAGCACUCUCAGUUGCGUGAGAGCGAGCUUGCCCGACAGUGGCAAUGGAAGUCGUGUGAUGCUCAUCUUGGACAGUGAAAAUGAAGAAGUCGCUUGGCAUGCUAAUACCAUGAAUAGAAAUGGCUUCAAUGGAGUACACCUGAUGAGCCCAUUGGAUCAAGCAAGAAGUGCACAACUAUUCUUUUGGAAAGUGCUAAGAAAAGCACAGUAUGAGUCAUGGUUGUCAGCCAGCGAAAAGCGAAGAAACCGGAAUGAUGAGAGGUAUGGUCGACAUUAUGAAUCACCAGGAAUGAUUGGGAAUGAGCAGGAGGAGGAGUAUCGAGAUAAUGAUUUUCAGAGAAAUGUUCAUAGUGUGACGGGAGGACACCCCAUGGGCAUACUGCUUCUGGCUGGAAUGCUUCGGUUCAAGGAGAAAUCAACUCAGUGGGGGUGUAGUGUUACAACAACUCAUGUCUGCAAGGUAUCCGCAGCAGUAUCCACAUCAACAAAUGUCCAACACAACAAGAAGGGCGAUAGAGAGCAUCUUCUGGACGAGCUUUGA